ACUCAAAUGAAUUGACGGGGGCCCGCACAAGCAGCGGAGCGUGUGGUUUAAUUCGAUGCAACGCGAAGAACCUUACCUGGGCUUGACAUGGGCUUGCAAGGGCUGGAAACAGUCCCCCUCUUCGGAGCAAGUUCACAGAUGUUGCAUGGCUGUCGUCAGCUCGUGUCGUGAGAUGUUGGGUUAAGUCCCGCAACGAGCGCAACCCUCGUGCUUAGUUACCUUAUCUAAGCAGACUGCCUACAAAAUAGGAGGAAGGUGGGGAUGACGUCAAGUCCGCAUGGCUCUUACGUCCAGGGCUACACACACGCUACAAUGGCCGGUACAAAGCGCAGCAAGCGUGCGAACGCAAGCAAAUCGCGAAAGCCGGUCUCAGUUCGGAUUGCAGGCUGCAACUCGCCUGCAUGAAGAUGGAGUUGCUAGUAACCGCGCGUCAGCAUAGUGCGGUGAAUAAGUUCCCGGGCCUUGUACACACCGCCCGU
rnacentral:rRNA from 1 species